UUCGUAUAUAUCUUGUUCUAUUGAAUAUUUAACUACGAAAAAAACGACAACAACUACAAUUAAUCACCCCGUAUUGUUUAUAUUAACAACUUAAGAGGUGUCCCAAAUUUUAUUCUCUUGUAACACGUCAGUUGUGUAACGCGAUAUUUCCUGGUCUUGUUUAUAAUCUACCAUAAAUAAUUAAUUUAUUUGAAGUGGCAAUACUAGCUCAUCGUACUUGACACAUUCCUGAACGAUUCCGCCAUCUUUUUUUCGUGUUAGUUGGAAGAACGUGUUGGAGCAGACUGUUUCUCCUUAAGAAAAGGGAAGAUUUAUUCCUUGGAAUUAUCAUUAAUUAAAUAGCUGUCCUGAUUUUUAGUUUUAAAUCAUACACAACAAUCAUUUCUUUGUUGAACUAUGACAGUUUUUGAAGGCUAUAUUUAUUAAUUUACGUGUUAUGAUUUUUUUUAGGUUAGUUCGUGUUGUAUAUUUCAUACGUUGUGCGACAGAGUGACACAAAUUGUGCGACGUAUUACAACGGAAAUUAUAAAAGAAAGUGUAUAUUGUUAUAUUUUAGAACAAUUCAAUUUUUGAUCACUACACAAACUGUAUUUAUUUUUCCACAACAUUUAUAAAACAUAAUUUAAAAAUAAGUGGGUUCCAUAACAAACCCGUCAGCUGAAUCUGAAAAUAAACAACUUAAUAAUACGUCAUAUAUCUAAUGUCUAUAUUACCUACUGUACCUCUUUAAACAUAUUCAUACUAUUGAUGGUGUCAUAAAAAUAAAAGUUGAAAUGCGGAUAACGUUGGUAGAGGCCUAUGUCUAACAAUGGUUGUUCGUGGGCUGAUAUGAUAAUGCUGGUAUUGAUGUUUUUUAUUUUAAUAGACGAUAAAUAUUAAGAGCAUGAUUUUUCAGUAGCCGAAUUUUGUUUUUGAAAUUAUUUAACAUUUACUUUUUAUUAUUUAUAUGAGCCUAUAAUGCAAUGUGUAUUUUUUUAUUUAACUCUACAGAUGCCUUUAUCUGCGGCGGAAAGAUGUCGAAGAUACAGAGAAAAAUUAAAACAAACGAAUCCUGCUAAAUUUGAACAAUUGAAAAAGAAGAAUGCAGAGCGAACUAAGGCAAAAAAAAGAAAAAUAGUAGAUAUGACUGAAGAAGAAAAACAAGUAAUAAGAAAGCAAUGGAGAGAAGCUAAGCGCACCAAAAAAGCAAAAGUUGAAAAUUUGGAUCAAGCAACAAACGCUAUAGUUAUAAAACGACGUAAAUACCGUAGUAAAUUACUACAAGAAAACAAAAAGUUAAAGGAAAGAAAUAAACGCCUACUUGUUAAAAAUGCCAAUUUACAUAAAACUAUUAUCAGAUACAAAAGAAGGGUUAUUAAUUUAACCAACAGAUUAAAUAUUAUAACAAACAAAUCAAAUGAAGCAACUAUAUCUAGGACUCCCGUCACACCAAUCAUUUUAGGUAAGAAAGAAAUUAUUAGAAACACGUGUCUUAGAAGAAAUUUUAAAAGAAACUUACAAAACCAGUAAACCAUUUGAAAAACGGGUAUUGAAGAGAAUAGUUCAAAAUGAGUCAGUCAAAAAACACAAAAUGCAGAAUAAAAUUUGAAAAUGUUUGGGUUUAAAAAGAGGCAUACGCUAGUAUCAUUUUAUAAAGCAGAGGAAAGUGAGAACAUCCAAAGAAAUAGAAAAAAUCUUUAAACAGGAUGACAUCAGUCGCAUGACCGCCGGAAAAAAAGAAUACAUCACUCGUAAUAAAAAUAAAAAACAAAAAAAGGAUUUUUGUUAAAUACUUUAUCCUAAUUUGUAUAAAGUAUACCGAAAUGAAGGUGGAAAUUUAUCCUUUGCUACUUUUAAACGCUGUCGCCCAUUUUAUGUGGUUCCUCCGCAUGUAUCCAACCGAAACACGUGUGCUUGUAUUAAACAUGCUAACUUAGACUUCAAAGCACAGACUCUAAAGAAAGCUGCCUCAAUAACAUCUACUGAUCCAAAUGAUUUGAUUUCUGAAAUAGUAUGUGAUAUAAAAACAAACCUUGCAUGUAUUCAGAGUGUGCAGUGUGUGCUGGAAAAAAAUUUGCUUUACUACUACAGAAGAUAUAUUAUCACAAGAGGUUACUUGGACUGAAUGGACAAUUAAAUGUUAUGAGUACGAAAAAUCUUGUAUACGCUAAACUACUAAAAAAACUGGUCAAGAGGAAAAGGCAGGUACAUUCAAUACACUAAUUAUUCAAUUCCAAGAAGAAUUCCCAAAAUUUAAAACUCAUUUUUAUAAUAUUUACCACCAACACAAGCAAUAUAAAGAAGCUAUAGAAAAGAUACACGAUAAUGAAGUUGUCAUACAUUGUGAUUUUUCCGAAAAUUACGGAUGUAAAAUGGCCGAAGAAGUGCAGUCUAUGCACUUUGCAGGCUCAAGGCAACAAAUUACAUUGUAUACAGGCGUAUUUUACAUUAAAAACCAUAAACAUUUUGUAAGCUGUUCCGCAUUCACUAAUAUAUUCUAAUUGUUUAUCC